UUUUCCUAGAAUGUAAAGGUCUUGAACUGAAGCAUCUUUGUAUCUUUCAGAAUUCUUCAACUUAACAGUUCAGUAACAGGGAAAUUACACUACUGCGGUAGAACGAUGAUCCUACUACCAUCCUUCUGCAAUGUUGAAUUAUAUCAUUCCUAACAUCAGUAUGCUUUCACAGACACAUUUCUGUUACAGUGUUUCUAAACAAAUGCUGCUGAGACUUCUGGAACAAUACUUCUUCAUAUUUCACAUGUGCAUGAGAAAAUUAACUGUGCAUGACAUCAGAAGAGUGGUUAAUUUUUGGCUCUGUGGCUACUACUACAACUGUUUUAGGCACCAUCCUCACAUAUAGCUCCUGUCCCAAAAAGUUUACUCUCUAAGAAGGGGGUCUUUCCAGCUCACUGCAGGAGCAACACCCCUGGUGUAAUUCCAGGAAGGAAGCAGAACUCAUGGAGUCAGCACGGCAGGGACGUGUCUUGCCGUUCACCAUACAUUCAAGCAGGGGCAAUGGAGUGAAUGGAAGAUGUGCUGUCACUUUCAGCUAGUGUAUUGUGGCCUUCAGACCAACUGAAAUAUCAGUUAUAGAGCAGCAACAGGCAGGAGUCAACGCAUAUGGAGCUAUUUCUAUGGCUGCAAAGAAGACAGCUGGUCAGCCACAAAUAUCAUCUUUACAAGUGCAGUUCCAGUAGUCAUGUUAUGAAUUAAAAACAUAAGAAUGCAGAUAUCACAUGAGGAGCACUCAAAUGGUACACUGCUGAACCAGAAACAAGAGCUAUGCACUGUG